rnacentral:tRNA from 1 species
GGCCCGAUAGCUCAGUUGGAUAGAGCAGGGGACUUCUAAGCCCAAGGUCACUGGUUCAACUCCAGUUCGGGCCA